UUAAAAUAGAAAUCUUAAUGAAAUAUUAAAAUAAAAAUAUUAAUUAAAUCUCAAUCAAAAUCUAGUCAAACCUUAAUUAAAUCUUAAUUAAAUUCUUAUCAAAUUCUAGUCAAUCCCUAAAUAAGCCCUAACAAAAUUCUAAUCAAAUCUUAAUCAAAUCCUAAUUAAAUCUUGAAUGAAUCCUAAAUAAAUCUUAAUAAAAUCUUAAUCAAAUCCUAAACAAAUUCUAUUCAAAUUCUAAUCAAAUCUUAAUCAAAUCUUAAUCAAAUCUUAAAUAAAUCCUAAUCAAAUCUUAAAUAAAUCAAAAUCAAAUCCUAAAUAAAUCCUAAAUAAAUCCUAAAUAAGCACUAAUCAAACCCUAAAAAAAUCCUAAUCAAACCCUAGAUAAAUCUUAAAUAAGUCCUAACCAAAUUCUAAAUCAAUCCUAAACAAAUCUUAACCUAAAUCAAAUCCUAAUAAAAUCCUAAUUUAAACCAAAUCCUAACCAAAUCCUAACCUAAAUCAAAUCUUAAUCCUAAUCAAAUCUUAAAUCAAAUCCAAAAUCAUAACCAAAUCAUAAUCCUAACUAAACCUUAAAUCAAUCCAAAAUCCUAAUCCUAACCCUAAAUUGAACCCUAAUCAAUCCCAAGUAAUUUCUACUGCAGAUUUAAACUUCAAGAACUAAUGAAUGAAAUAUUGAUAUUAACUCAAAUUUUGCACACCUCUUAAUAAUUAAAUUAACAACAAGUACAAAAAAAAUUUAAAAAGAUCAAAAUUAUCAAAUAGACGAUAAUGUCAAAAAUGUGCUUAAAUAUCAGCCAGCCUUCUUCUCCGACCUUGAUGCCAAUCUCCUAGAGUCAAUUACUCCUAGUUGAACCAUUACUUUGCUUCCAAACUUUAUACACUUAUUAGAAAUCAAGCUGAAUACUUUUGUAAAAGAAAUUUAGGUCAAUCUAAUUAGCAAAUUGACAAAUAUCUAAGAAAACCUCACUGGUUCUCAAAAUCCUAAAUUUUGAGACCAUAACCACACAAAAACCUUCAUACUUUUCAAUCUAAUUAUUUGA
rnacentral:lncRNA from 1 species